rnacentral:rRNA from 1 species
UACAGAGGGGGCAAGCGUUGUUCGGAAUUACUGGGCGUAAAGGGCGCGUAGGCGGCCAACUAAGUCAGACGUGAAAUCCCUUGGCUCAACCAGGGAACUGCGUCUGAUACUGGAUGGCUUGAGUUCGGGAGAGGGAAGUGGAAUUCCAGGUGUAGCGGUGAAAUGCGCAGAUAUCAGGAGGAACACCGGUGGCGAAGGCGGUUCUCUGGGCCUUACCUGACGCUGAGGAGCGAAAGCAUGGGGAGCAAACAGG